rnacentral:rRNA from 1 species
AUUGAACGCUGGCGGCAUGCCUAACACAUGCAAGUCGAGCGGAGCGCCGGACGGGUGCGUAUUUGCUAGGAAUCUGCCCGGUCGUGGGGGAUGCCGUCCGCUAACGGGCGCUAAUACCGCUUCCUAUCACAAUAGCCUCGGUCGGGUUGGCUAGUUGGUGGGGUAAAGGCCUACCAAGGCGACGAUCCGUAACUGGUCUGAGAGGGUGAUCAGUCACACUGGAACUGAGACACGGUCCAGACUCCUACGGGAGGCAGCAGUGGGGAAUAUUGGACAAUGGGCGAAAGCCUGAUCCAGCCAUGCCGCGUGUGUGAAGAAGGUCUUCGGAUUGUAAAGCACUUUAAGUUGGGAGGCGUUACCAACAGAAUAAGCACCGGCUAACUUCGUGCCAGCAGCCGCGGUAAUUC